CAAAUGUGCAGGAUAAACAAUGCAGUCAAAAUAAUGUACCCUUCGGCCUGCUGCAAGUUCCCUAAUUACGAUUUGCAGUUCAUAUAUCAUUUUGAUAACAAGGCGCUCUUUAAGUCAGAAAUAUCCAAUUACCCUUACACAUAAUCUAGGGACUAUUAUAAUUGUACACAUGGCUCAUAUAUCAUUCGAUGAAACUAGACAGCCAGACUGAAGACCUUAGGCAAUUUGUUGUUAUUCCUUGUGGUUUAUAUAAUUAUACGAUAUGAUAUAAAAUAAUAGUAAUAGGAAGGAAAAAUUUAUAAAUAAUUUUAUCAAAGAGACCUUAACUUUUCCAAGUCGCAGGCAGAUUGAGUACACCAUAUCAUAAUAUCUUAUUAUUAUGUCUUUCAUAAAUGUUCUGCAUAUGUGCCCUAUAUAUAAUAUACUCCAUAUUCCUAACAUUUAAAUUCACAUUUCCUCCAAGCUCAUAUCAAGUGAUAACCUUUAAUUUUCCUGCAUAACCGACUAAACUUAACUGAUUGAUAUAUAGAAAAAGAAAGAAGAAGAGCGAGCAAGAGCACGUUUUAAAUAUGACAAAUUGAGAAUGAUGCCAACUGGAAAUGGAGCCUGACACCGCGCUCAAUUAACAAGCAAAUGCUGAAAGCCCGCAUUCAACUGAAAAUGAUAUAGAGGGGAGAUGUCAGGCAGAGAGAGAGAGAGAGAGAGAGUAACAGAGAAGAACAGAGAGAGAUAAUGAUACAAAUGGAGCUAAUGCAGGGCCUAGCCGGAAAUGAUGCAACGCAUACACUCGCAGCUCGCUCUAUAGAGGCAAAAUUAAAGUGGGCGGGGCAGACAGAGUCGGAACUGGAACUGGAGUUGGAGUUGGAGCUGAGACUGAAGUCAGAGACACAGUCACAGUCGGAGUCAGAGUCAGAGUCAGAGUCUAAAUGCUGCGUUGUAAUUUCAGUUACUAAUGAGAGAAUUAAAAACACUUUGCUUCAAGGGGCAGGAGAAGCAGCAAUGAUAAGCGGGAAAAACUCUCCAAAAGAGUGUGUGUGUGUGUGUAUGUGUUUAGCUGCUGUUGCCAACAGGCAAGCAGGCAAGCAGCCUAACUAAUGAAAGGAAAACACAAACAUAUGCCGGCUCACGAGCGUUGGUAAUGAAAAAUCAGACAGACGACAGCAUUUGUUUAGGCCAGGCUAAGGAACCUGUCUGUAGCAGCAGCAGCAGCAGCAACAACAACAACAACAAACGACGUCCCUUGGGCAAACAGCCAGAGAUAAAUUGUCAGUUAAAGGCACAGGCAGGAAAAUUGUGCAAAGUGCAAGGUGAGAAAAGAGCAGAAGACGAAAUAAAUAAGAUGAAGCUGCCGGAGCUGCAGCAGCAGCAGUCGAGGCAACCUUUUGUGGCACAGGUCUCGACAGAAACUGAACAGAAAUAUGCCGACUCAGAGGAAAUGCAUUCAGGCUGGAGCGCAGCAAAGGUAAAAGGUUAUAAACCGAGGCAAGAAAGAACGAGAUAAGAAAAGACAACAGUUCGAAUACCCUAACCAAACAAAUGCAGUCCAAAAUACAGGUGAGAUGUGAAUAGGGCAACAUUGUAGCCAAGACAAUGCCAAGAAACUAGAUAAUAAAUUGAAUGGAUGAACAAAUUAUAUCAAA